AUUGAACGCUGGCGGCAUGCUUUACACAUGCAAGUCGAGCGGCAGCGCGGGGGCAACCCUGGCGGGCGAGCGGCGAACGGGUGAGUAAUGCAUCGGAACGUACCCUGGAGUGGGGGAUAACGCCGCGAAAGCGGCGCUAAUACCGCAUAUGCUCUGAGGAGGAAAGUGGGGGACCGCAAGGCCUCACGCUCUGGGAGCGGCCGAUGUCCGAUUAGCUAGUUGGUGGGGUAAAGGCUUACCAAGGCGACGAUCGGUAGCUGGUCUGAGAGGAUGAUCAGCCACACUGGGACUGAGACACGGCCCAGACUCCUACGGGAGGCAGCAGUGGGGAAUUUUGGACAAUGGGGGCAACCCUGAUCCAGCCAUGCCGCGUGAGUGAAGAAGGCC
rnacentral:rRNA from 1 species